CUUCUGUAAGGGAAAGAUACUAUUUCAAGUAUAUUUCAAUUUUAAAGCUCAUUAAGACUUGGCAACUGACACUCUCCAAAACUCCAAAUUGAACUAGUGAAAUAAUCAUUAUAGUAAUUCUGAGCUUUGACAAAUAUUUUGUGAGUACUUAUAUAGUUGUACUAUAUUGUCAUGCUGUGACUCCACUCUACUAGAAGAGAAAUAUUCUCAGUAAACAGAUAGGAAGCAUGCAGCUAGCACCAUUGGUGUUGAUUUACCAGUACAUGAUGGAAUAACAAUCCCAGUAUCAAAAUCACAUGUAAUCUAGACAGCUAGUAUAAACGGGAUUUCACGGGUUACCUCUUGAAGCGUGAACAAAGCUCCUCUAUCAUGUGGGCCUCUAAUUCCACCACAACUCAAUGAAAUCUCUACGAUUCCCGAACAUUCCACGGCCUUCUACGUUCCACGACCUUCUACUGAACACAGUUUCUGUGCUAAGUGUCUGAGAUCCGCUGCUGAUAAUUGCGGAGGACGAUGCCCGAAAUGCAGGCGCUUUAUCAGCAACGAGAGAUCGUGCACUGUAAACACAAGUCCUUUGGAAUACAAUUCAACUACUAUUUCCUAAAGAAGUAGAAGCAAGAAAAGCAGCACAAGCUUUUAACUGGUGGAGUAGCAGAGCAUCCAAGUCCAGUAACAAUUGCUAGUCAUUCUGAUAUUUCAAGAAGCAGAGCAGAAUCUGGCGCUUGAAGUCCACAAAAAAGGAAUUCUCACUCUUCGAGAAGAUGAAGUGCCAAGCCUUUUAGCGCAUAUUGUUAUUUUGAAAAUGUAAAAAAAUAUAUAUAUGGAUGAAGUAACCGGGUUGUGGUUACAGUUCAAUAAUCGAAGCUAGGGCAACAAUGGCAUAGCUUGUGAGUGCUUCAAAGUAAAUUAAACAGAUACUAGCUACUGUUAAAUUCGUUCUUUAGUAAUAAUGAAUAGCUAUGGUAGCAGA